rnacentral:rRNA from 1 species
UACAGAGGUCUCGAGCGUUAGGCGGAAUCACUGGGCUUAAAGCGUGUGUAGGCGGAUCGGUAAGUACCUUGUGAAAUCCCACAGCUUAACUGUGGAACUGCUUGGUAUACUGCCAGUCUUGAGCCAGCUAGGGGCUACCGGAACAAAUGGUGGAGCGGUGAAAUGCGUAGAUAUCAUUUGGAACGCCAAUGGUGAAAACAGCUAGCUGGGAGUGUGCCGACGCUGAGACACGAAAGCCAGGGGAGCGAACGGG